AUCGAUCCACGACCGCGAAAGCGAUCGAAGUGGAAAUCCUGCAACGCAACAUGAUUGGAAUGAAGAAAUCGGAAUAUACGAAAAGAUUGAAAUGUUGCGUUGCAGAUUGAAACGGAGAGCGCGGUCCAGC
rfam:Leptospira borgpetersenii str. 200701203 ctg1130286793301, whole genome shotgun sequence.